UAAAAAAAAAAAAAAACCAUUAUCGUCGGACCAAAAGUUUGCAUUCACUUUCGUAUGAAGACAGUAUGCUUUUAGAUUUUUUGCUCUGUUAUCGGCAUGCAUUUAACUCGUUUCGCAUCCCACGUGGUGACUUACGCUAUGUCUGGAAGAGAUUUUUUAAAAAUUAUUUUUAACCACAUUCUCUAAAAAAUAAUUUUUUCACUUGGAGAAAUCUCUCCCAAACAAAUGCAUUGCCUGCUCUGGUAGUUUACUUCCAGUACGGAUUGAUCAAAAUACUCCUACUUUUCUUCACAUUUGUUGAUCAAAUUUCACUGCUAACAAUUCUGUGAGUAUUUCUUUUCCUUUUCUUGUUUUGCUUUUGUCAUCAAUCACUAGUCUGAAAUUUCUCUGAAAUCAGAAUAGCUCGCAAACUGCUGCAUGUAAAUAACACGGUUUAUUGAAAUAUAAAUUUGUUAAAGUUAUUAUUAGAAAUUUUUCAAUGAUCUGACUUGUCUGAGAGGAGUAUAAGAUGUUCUUAACAUGUCCAUAUUGUGCUGUGAAAAUCAAAUCUUAGUCCAAUUAGAGGGGUUCGUAUUUAUUUUAUUUUUCAUGACGAUCUAAUUGAAUUCCACGUGCCUGAUAAAACACCUUCCUCCCGAGUUGUUUAAGAGCAAUCCGGGCACCUCUUACAAGUCGGUUUUAAGAGUGAAUUCUACAUUUUGUAAUCUUUGACAGCAUUAAAGAAGAGAUCGCCAAUGACAGUAGAAAGAGUAUGAAAAGAGGUGAUGAAGAAUGAUUAAAUAAAUUGUCUGAUACAGAGAUGAAUGAUGGCAUUUUCAGUAAGCACAAUAAGAACACAGGAAAAGAAGGAGAGUGAAGAGUACUUUAUGGUCAAUGGUGAAAUCAUGUGAUUGCAGGUCCUAACAGUUAGUAAUCUUGACAGGAGAUAUCUUCAAAAUGGAUCGCGGGGAAUUCACACUGAUCGGAUCACUACAUGCGUAAUGUUCACUCUGCACUUUACAAUACAGCUUCCAUUGGAGCAUUACCUAUCUUGAAAGAAGCCAAAGGAACAAAAGGCAAUAAUUAUAAGUCAUCGUGGCUCACUUGCAUGCAAUUGACUCCUAUGUUGGUUUGCUAGACAUCCAACGUAGCUCGACUUUUUUCAUAUUCUUGGAUUCUGUCUAAUGUUACGAGGGUUUGAGGGUCUGGUAAGUUCUUUACAUUUGUUGAUAUGUGCUGUGAGAUUUUGUGAGAACAACUGUCAUCGUGGCUCCCUUGUAGUCGAUUGACUCCUAUGUUGGUUUGCUAGACAUCCGAGGAAGCUCGACUUUUUUCACAUUCUUCGAUUCUGUCAUAUGUUAUCAGGGUCCGGUGAUGGCCAAGUUCUUGGGUUUUAUGUAUACUUAUUUGAACAUAUCCAUCAGCAAAAACAUAGUAUACCUUUCCAAUGACCCUUCCUGGUAGAACAGUCAUUUUUAUUUUUUGUGCUUUUUACCUUUCUUUAACCUCAAUGAUCAUAGUAAUGUGUCUAAAUGCACUGCAGGGCCAUAAAGUCCAUUUGGAUCAUAAAAAUCUGAAGUUUCUCAAGCAAUGGGCAUGGCAGUUUGUUUGGAUCCAAACCUGUUUGCUCUGUUUUGAUGAUAGCUCUUCAACCUCUCGGAAUCUAUCCCAGCUGGCUCAGCUGGACAUUCACCAUCAUUUUAAACAUUUCAGUUUCAUUGGCAUUGUACACCCUUGUGGUUUUUUUACCAGAAUGAUACUAUUUGUAUAUAAACAUGGUUUACAUACAGAUGAUGUGUCAAAAAGAGAGGGGAAGUUUUUUUUUUUUUUGGUUGAAAAAACACGUGUGUGUAAAUCAAUAUGUACGUGUAACACAACCAUUUUUACCAUGUCUUUGUGAAAGAGUUGGCCCCAUAGAAAACACUUGCCAAGUUUUUGUGUGUCAAAGGCAUCGUCGUCUUCAGUUUCUGGCAGGGAAUUGUACUUGAUAUUCUUGUAGAACUCAGCAUAGUCCAAUCCAAUCAUUUUUGGCUCGAUGUUGAGCAUAUUGAGGAAGCUUUUCAGAAUGUAUUGGUGAUUGUGGAGAUGGUUUUCUGCUGGAUCUUCAUGGAGUAUGCAUUGCAUACAUUGCUGCACCUUACCGUACUGGAACAGUUUCAAGCAUCAGUUAGAAGAAGAAAGAGUGACCUAAAAACCCAUGAAAAUGGAGCAACAUUCGUGUUUCAUGGUGUACGCAGCAUUUUACACAGUACAUCUAUGUCUAACAGCAUAUUGCUUCUUCAUGAUAUAUUAGAAUCCUUUUCCAUGUGGUAAAGACCCACAGAGAAAUAAACGAGGAGUAUCUUGCAAUAAAAAGGUGAACCCAAUUUGAAGAGAAAAACAACAAAACGAGGAGGGAGAAAAGUAACUUUCCACGUACAUUGCUAAAGUUAUGCCCUUAAGGUUCUAAGAUACAGAGUUAAAGGGAAAGAAA